GGGGAUAACGUUUGGAAACGAACGCUAAUACCGCAUGAGACUACAGUACUACAUGGUACAGUGGCCAAAGGAGCAAUCCGCUGAAAGAUGGGCUCGCGUCCGAUUAGAUAGUUGGCGGGGUAACGACCCACCAAGUCGACGAUCGGUAGCCGGACUGAGAGGUUGAACGGCCACAUUGGGACUGAGACACGGCUCAGACUCCUACGGGAGGCAGCAGUGAGGGAUAUUGGUCAAUGGGGGAAACCCUGAACCAGCAACGCCGCGUGAGGGAAGACGGUUUUCGGAUUGUAAACCUCUGUCCUCUGUGAAGAUAAUGACGGUAGCAGAGGAGGAAGCUCCGGCUAACUACGUGCCAGCAGCCGCGGUAAUACGUAGGGAGCAAGCGUUGUCCGGAUUUACUGGGUGUAAAGGGUGCGUAGGCGGCCUUGCAAGUCAGAAGUGAAAUCCAUGGGCUUAACCCGUGAACUGCUUUUGAAACUGUAGGGCUUGAGUGAAGUAGAGGCAGGCGGAAUUCCCGGUGUAGCGGUGAAAUGCGUAGAGAUCGGGAGGAACACCAGUGGCGAAGGCGGCCUGCUGGGCUUUAACUGACGCUGAAGCACGAAAGCGUGGGUAGCAAACAGGAUUAGAUACCCUGGUAGUCCACGCCGUAAACGAUGAA
rnacentral:rRNA from 1 species